AACGCAAAUUGCACUCUCUGGUAUUCCGGAGAGUAUGCCUGUUUGAGGGUCGUUAGAAAAAAAAAUCGAAGCGUCGCUCUUGGGCGAUUGCGUCGGAAUUGAGCCGUCUUUCAUAUGUUGAUUCAUGUCAAAGUGGCUUAAAAUUCAUCAAUCUGGUACGAUUUAAAGCGUAUUUAAGAUCAUCAUUGAUUAAGAACGCGCGAUGACGUAUCAUCUCAUGUAGUACGUUCGACCUGCUUGUCAGGCUCAUUCGUAUACGACACUCAACUUUUGACCUCAAAUCAGGUAAGAAUACCCGCUGAACUUAA
rnacentral:misc_RNA from 1 species